rnacentral:lncRNA from 1 species
GAAAAUACCACGCACUAAAAUUUCAUAGCAGGUGUUUGCAUUAGUAAGUUGGUAAGUAUUAAAUUCUAUAAGCCGAGUCUCCCAUGACACCUCUCUCUUUUGUCCCAUUCAUUGGUAAGGGUCUUGGGACAAUCAAAUGAUAAGAAUUAAGGACUCAAUUCCCUGAAAACAAUGACUAUUAUCACUUGAUGUUUCAUUAAUUAUGCGGUGGUCUAUGGGAUAUUCCACAGCAGAGACGGAGGAUGGCUAGAAUCGUGUCGCAAUGAAGGUAUCGCCACUAUG